UGUCUCCUCCAUGUCUCAACCGAUAUGGAUUGCGCCCGCCACCCUGCGCGGGCUUUUUUUU
rnacentral:ncRNA from 1 species